AUGUAUUCUCAUUGGUCACCAUUAGGUCACAUGUGCCGUUUAUGUCAUUACACCCGGAAAAGUUAAUAUUUGUUUCUGGUUUGUCACUGGCUACGAUCACCAAAAAACAAAACAAAACCAAAAAACAAAGCGAAAAAAAAAGCCAUUUUCCAAACGCAGUUCAUCGUAAUAUUUAAUUAAUUAAUCGUUCUUAAACAACAUCUUUUAUUAAACAGCUUGGCAACGAUUGUCAACACAAUGGGUAACACUUGCUGCAAAUUUGCUCAAGAACACACUUUGGAGAAACAGACUUUGAUGCAAGACGCUGUGGCUAAUGAGCUCUCAUCAAGUCAAACUCAGAUCUCUGUCCAAUGUAAGGAGAACCCUGAGGGUCAAGACGGAAUAGUGCUGUUUGACACGGUGCAAGUCUUUCCCAUUGUCAACAUCCUUUGUCCUACCAGGGUAGAAGAUCUUCAUGAUGGUCAUAGCAAACAGCAGUAGAUCUCUCUCAUCGGUAUUCAAGGAAAUUUAGAAUUUAAAAAUCUUCUAUGUUUUCUGUGCUUUGAUAAGUUGGUGAUUAAAAUGUGAGAUGUUGAAUCAUUAAAAUUUAAAAGAGCAGUUGGUUAUUUUUUUCUAAAUCUGCUGUUUUAAUCUGUUCUCAAGGCUAGAACUUAUAAGACCACACACAAACAAACAGCAGUAUAGGGUUCCAGCGAGCACCAUCAAACCUUGACAGAAGCAUGCAGCACAUCUGUUCUUCAAUUAUUGGCUGCCUGUAACUGCCUGCAUCAAAUUCAAAGCUCUGAUGCAUACAGUACCACAUCUGUCAGCACCCUCUAAUCUAAGCUUGCUUUUUCAGAUUUAUAAACCCCUGUUGUCAGUCAGUGAGUGACUCCUCAUUGAAUCAUAUGAGGUUAUUUUCAAGUAUCUUUACAAGCCCUCGCUUUACCUUCAGACAGCAUUAUCCAUUACAGUCCAGGGGUCUCAUUUAUAAAACUCUCCGUAGACUUCAUCCUAAAAGUGUAUGUAUGCACAAAAGCUAGAUUUUGCGUACGCACAAAAGUUUUCAGAUUUAUAAAACCUAUACAUAUGCCAGAACCUGCAAAAAAUCCCUUUAUAAAUGCCAGUUAGGGGAAGAUUGUGCGUACGUGCAUCUCCACCCUGAAAUCACCAUAUAUGGAGCUUACAACGCCUAGUUUUACUAUGCAUAACCUCAUCUGCAUCAUUUCCAUGCAUAUUCCCAUUCACCUAACACCAUAUUUAGGUACAAGACAUUAAGGAAAUAUGAGAUAUGGACUAUAAAUGCCAUUUGUGCCAUACACAGUUUUUAUUGCUAAAAAUCAUCCAGUAUCCUUAUAAUGUUUUAGCAUAAAUAUAUAAAAAUAAAAAUCCAUAAAGACAAAACCGUUUAAAAUACAAACCCGAUUCCAAAAAAGUUGGAACACUGUACAAAUUGUGAGUAAAAAAGGAAUGGAAUAAUUUACAAAUCUCAUAAACUUAUAUUUUAUUCACAGUAGAAUAUAGAUAACAUAUCAAAUGUUGAAAGUGAGACAUUUUGAAAUGUCAUGCCAAAU
ensembl:lncRNA